rnacentral:rRNA from 1 species
GUGGGGAAUAUUGCACAAUGGAGGAAACUCUGAUGCAGCGACGCCGCGUGAGUGAAGAAGGUCUUCGGAUCGUAAAACUCUGUCCUUGGUGAAGAAAAGGACGGUAGCCAAGGAGGAAGCCCCGGCUAACUACGUGCCAGCAGCCGCGGUAAUACGUAGGGGGCGAGCGUUGUCCGGAUUUACUGGGCGUAAAGGGUGAGUAGGCGGUUGUAUAUGUCAGGUGUAAAAGGCACAGGCUUAACUUGUGUUAGCACUUGAAACUGUACGACUUGAGUGCAGGAGAGGUAAGCGGAAUUCCUAGUGUAGCGGUGAAAUGCGUAGAUAUUAGGAGGAACACCAGUGGCGAAGGCGGCUUACUGGACUGUAACUGACGCUGAGUCACGAAAGCGUGGGUAGCAAACAGG